GUGUCGAGUUUGGCCCUCACUCUGUGUGGUGCUGUGGCUGCCUGUGCUGUACCCGAGAGUCAGUAUGUGGGCGCCGGUAUUUUAAAGCUGCCUUCCGGCGAUUUCCAGGCUCCUUUCCAUGAAUGGAGAUAGGAGAGAGGAAGUGAGCCAAGGAGCUAACGCAGGAAAAGGAAUAUAGUAAGAAGCAGAGAGCAUCAAAGGGGAGAGGAACACAGCAAGGAUUUGAUUCCGUGAGAGCAACCAGCGGCAAACCGGAAAUGGCUUCCUCCCUACCCUGCCUGGAGCUGCACACCCUCUGCCACCCGAGCCGGUAUGCCGCAGUUGGCAGAGCUGUCAAAUCACGCUGAACUCCAGGUGCUGAAGAGAAAAGCAGAACUGGAGGGAAUUCAAGCCACAUCUAUAGGCGAGGCUUUCCCAAACGUUGGUGUUGAAGGGAAAGGAGAAAGACGGAAUGAAAGCUUCAGAGCAAGACAGGAAAAGGAAAACACGGAGAUAGAUGAAAAGAUAAGGUGAAGACAGAGGCCAAGCCGGCCAUGAUGGAUCCACAGGAAGGAACAUGGAGGUUGACUAUCAACCACAAGAAGCCAGAAGAGAGAGGCAUGGGGUGAAUUUUCUCUCUAGAAGAAACAAACCCUGUGGAAGCUUUGGUUGUGGACUUCUGGCUUCUGGGCUGUGAGAAAAUGCAUUUCUAUUGCUUUAAGCUAUCAAGUCUGUGGCAAUUUGUUAUAGUACCCAUGGGAAGAUAAUAAAGUCUGCUAUCCACCAGUGCCUUUUCUAACCAGGUCACAGGCUUUCCUCAAACUGAGGUCACCAAGUAGCUUUCACAAAUCCAUCUCCUGAUCCUCAUGAAUCCACAGAAAUAACUGGCAGUGUGAACAAUAUUUGCCCACACUUUCUUCUCGUGUUCAUUGUCUUUACGCAACCCAGAAGUCUAGUCCAUCCACAGCUUCAGGGUCACUUUCCUAUGUUUUCCCCUUCAUUGACAAGGUCAGUACUCUGCUCUUCUUACUCAGUACCCAGGGACAUUAGGUCAGACGUCAGGACCUCAGAAUCACCCCCUAAGGUCUAAAAUUUGUGCCAACUUAUCUCUUCACAGGCAUCCCAAGCUCAUCUAUCUUUUGCCCACACAUUCAUUCUCGCCUAAUGUUUCUGUCUUCCCAGUGACCUCACUAGUCUACCAAGUGACCCCCUUCCACUCCCCAAAUUCAUUCAAACAUUUAGUCCUAAAAGAUCUGCUUAUUCAUUUCUAAAGUUUCCUUCCAUUCUUCAUUCAUCCUGCCCACUGGUUGGCUUUGCACCCCUUAUGAGUCCAAAUUUGACCUUCCAUUGUUUUCCCAGAUCCGGCCCCCUCCAAAUAUUCUGGCACACCACCACUGAAGUGACCUUUCCACAGACAAGCCCAUCUGAGUUAUUUCUUGGAAAAGUCCCCAGUGGCUCUUCUAACAACUCUCGGGAAAAGUUAACAACUUGUUUCUUUCCACUCACACUCACAGGCCCAUUCUAGCACUAUUGCACAAGGAUACCUUACCUCAGUCCUAUAGAAAAUCAGAUAUACUUACACACACAUGAUGCUGUAUCCUUGCUCCAUAUGUCAAAAGCCCAUUCCUUUUAUUUGUUUAACUUGUUCUCAACUUUUCAAAACCUCGGUUUCUAACAUCACUUUAUUCAGAGCGAAGAAGCUCAGACUAAUCCCUCAUUCCUUUGUUGAUACUCAAACCCAGGGCCUUGCAUACGAGAAAAGUGCUUUACCACUGAGCUUAACCACAGCCCUCUAAGUCACCUUUAAUAAUAACAAGUUUAUUUUGAGUAUAAAAGUAAUGCCUGGCAUUGGCAAAAAGUUGGGAGAAGACAAGUAUAAUCCCACAAAGUAUGGUUAUGUUGUAGACAGGCCCCAGGCUGGACUGGUUGCAGCAGAGGGAAACUAUGGACAGCAUAUAGUGCAGAAGAAUGGAACAGUAAGCCUUGACCAUGGGAAGACUUGUCAACAGAACACUUUAGAUAAGGUGGAGCAGGGCAGGCAAUGGACAAAGAGGUUGGCAGGCAGGGAUGGGAGGCUGGAUACUACAGUGCCACCUUAAGAAGACUUCAUCUUACGUUUACAUUUGAGAUAUAUUUGAGUUAUGUUUUGUGAAGGAUGCCAGUCUGUGUUUAUAUUCUACAUAAAUGUCCAGUUCUCCUCGCACAGUCGCUGACUGUCUUCUCGCCAUUGAUCCUUUCUCAGAGAUCACGUGGCCUGCUGUGGACUUAGCUCUAGGUUUCCAACUAAGGUCCACUGGCCCAUUUGUCUCCUCUUGCACUAGUGUCUUACUCCUUUGAUUGCUGUCACUUUCUACUGAGUCUUGAGGCUGUAUAAUGUCAGUCCUCCAACUUUGCUUGGCUCCUGAAAUAUCAUGGUACAUCCUCGGGGGGUUGCUAAUGUAAAUGGGAUUGUAUUUUCAAUGUCAAAGUCCAUUCUGUAGCUGUAUAUCAUCAAAGUUGCUUACUUUUGUAUAGCAAACAUCUUUCUAUACACUGUAUUACUUGUAAUCAAGUAUUAGUUCUAGGAGGCUUUAUUUUUUAUUCAACAUAUAUAAUCAAAUCAUGGAUAAACAAAGAUAAUUUUGGUUUUCCUCAAACAGCAUACUUUCUCUUGUCUUUUAUUCCCAGUAUGUUGAAAAGCAGUAGCAGGGACUGGAGGACAUCUUUGCCUUGUUCCUGAUCUCAGCAAGAAACUGUCUAAUUUCUUACUGUUAAGAAUGACAUUAAGACAAUUGUGGUGGUACACACCUUUAAUCUCAGUAUUCAGGAGCAGAAG